rnacentral:rRNA from 1 species
GAUGAACGCUGGCGGCGUGCCUAAUACAUGCAAGUCGAGCGAACAGACGAGGAGCUUGCUCCUUUGACGUUAGCGGCGGACGGGUGAGUAACACGUGGAUAACCUACCUAUAAGACUGGGAUAACUUCGGGAAACCGGAGCUAAUACCGGAUAAUAUUUUGAACCGCAUGGUUCGAUAGUGAAAGAUGGCUUUGCUAUCACUUAUAGAUGGAUCUGCGCCGCAUUAGCUAUUUGGUAAGGUAACGGCUUACCAAGGCAACGAUACGUAGCCGACCUGAGAGGGUGAUAGGCCACACUGGAACUGAGACACGGUCCAGACUCCUACGGGAGGCAGCAGUAGGGAAUCGUCCGCAAUGGGAGAAAGCCUGACGGAGCAACGCCGCGUGAGUGAUGAAGGUCUUCGGAUCGUAAAACUCUGUUAUUAGGGAAGAACAAAUGUGUAAGUAACUGUGCACGUCUUGACGGUACCUAAUCAGAAAGCCACGGCUAACUACGUG